rnacentral:rRNA from 1 species
CGGGUGCACUGGUUCGGCCGGGCCUUUCCUUCUGGCAAGCCGCAUGCCCUUUACUGGGUGUGUUGGGGAACCAGGACUUUUACUUUGAAAAAAUUAGAGUGUUCAAAGCAGGCAUAUGCUCGAAUACAUUAGCAUGGAAUAAUAGAAUAGGACGUGCGGUUCUAUUUUGUUGGUUUCUAGGACCGCCGUAAUGAUUAAUAGGGAUAGUCGGGGGCAUCCGUAUUCAAUUGUCAGAGGUGAAAUUCUUGGAUUUAUUGAAGACGAACUACUGCGAAAGCAUUUGCCAAGGAUGUUUUCAUUAAUCAGGAACGAAAGUUAGAGGUUCGAAGGCGAUCAGAUACCGCCCUAGUUCUAACCAUAAACUAUGCCAACUAGCAAUUUGCUUUGUAUUUUUUAUGACUAAGUGAGAGGCCACGGGAAACCUAAGUAGGGUUAUGGGGGAAGUAUGGUUGCAAAGCUGAAACUUAAAGGAAUUGACGGAAGGGCACCACCAGGAGUGGAGCCUGCGGCUUAAUUUGACUCAACACGGGAAAACUUACCUGGUCCUGACACUAGAAGGAUUGACAGAUUGAUAGCUCUUUCUUGAAUUGGUGGAUGGUGGUGCAUGGCCGUUCUUAGUUGGUGGAGUGAUUUGUCUGCUUAAUUCCGAUAACGAACGAGACCUUAACCUGCUAAAUAGCCAGGCCGGCUUCGGCUGGUCUCUGGCUUCUUAGAGGGACUGUCAG